CGCAAAAGCGCCGGCAGGCAAUGUCGUGGUCGCCUCCUUCCCUAAUCCACCUGCUACCUUCCACAUAUCCAAUCAUCCCAGGCAAACCCGUCGCCAAUCGAAUCGUUGACUUCUAAUUGCCUUCGCUAGAUCUAGAGGCCACACCGCGGCUAACCCUCCAGGCGCGCGCUGGAGCUCCUUCUUUCAGCGGCCAAACACGGCAUCGCCUUACAGCGGAGAAGCCGAUCGAGGUUGUCUUGUUGCCAGCGGUGCGGAGACUGGAGAGAGGUUGGCGUAAGAUAGAACUGCCUCGCGCAAAUUCCAUCUUAGUAUAUGGACUGCACAUUGUUGCAAUUUCUGUCCGGUCUAAUGCACUAUUUGUUGGGUAUGACUGAGGAGGAACACAGCAAAGACAUGAAUUGAUACCGAUACCGCCAACCAGGUAGAUAUUUUUGUUGUCUAACAAACUGGACACAACUGCAGUACACUUCAAAAAUCGUCUCACUUUUAUGUUUAUUCACAACAUCACUUAUCAUGUUGUUUCUGGUAUGGCACCAUGAAAGAUUUCAAAUAAUUUAUUGGUGUAGUCGGGUGUGUCUAUGAGGAGCGAUUUUUUCUCCUGUUGCAACGCACGGGCAUGUUUGCUAGUAAUAAUAAAGCAAGGAGUGCUUCUAGCGGUCAGUCACACAAUUUUGCCGAAAACCCCCUGCAUUUUCUGUGAGUUAGCCCGCAGUACACACUUAAGUCACAACCGAACCGUUAUAUUGCAUUUUUUCAGAACCACCCUGACUUUUGUGACGCCACCGUUUCAAUCGUACACUAAUCAUACACACAAACAUGUACGAACAAGAUCAGAUACUCAUGGGAAGAUAUCACAACACAACUCUAAAAACAAAUUAAGUCAUACAAGCUUCAUAUUACAAGCCAGGGGCCUCGAGAGCUCGAAUGCAAAUGCUCGAUCAUAAAUGAGUCAGCGGAAGCAACAAUAUCUGAGUACAGACAUAAGUUAAACAAGGUGUCAUAAGAUGGCUAGCACAAACAUAGA